GGGCAGGGGAAGAAGGCAAAGGGAUGCAGGAGGAAGGUGCUGCGGUUGGGGGGAAGGGGAUACACAAACAUCACCACAGGUGUGCUGUGUUCCUGGAUAACACCAACAAGAAAGAAAUGCAUUGAAACUAGUCAGCCAUGUGGUGAUGGCCCAGUAAGGAGAAGGAAUGGUGACAUUGUCUACCCCAUGACUCAGCAACAGCAUGUAACGACAUGUGAUCCAAGAUUUCAUGUUUGCAUGCCAGUAACUUUCCAUGCACAUGGGCUGAGAAUAUAAAAGUGGAGACUAUGA